rnacentral:misc_RNA from 1 species
AAGUCGUAACAAGGUUUCCGUAGGUGAACCUGCGGAAGGAUCAUUAACACGUUUUCCAACGUUUUAUCAACAACUUCGUGAACUGUACCCCCUCACCUCUUCAACUUAAUAUGGUGGAAUAAACUCAGCCUUAUGCCUAUGUGGACAAACAAUCGGAGACAACGAGUAUCGUAACUGAGAAAGUAUUAUCCUUGGGGCAGCUGACACUGAAAGCCGUUGAGCUUUUAUUAAGUUGAUGUAGGCUUUUUUUCGAUCCACAUAUUUUAACCCCUUUAACCGUUCAGUCUCGGCUGACGUACUAUUUGACUAAUGCUUAUCAUGUUUGACUGAUCGUGAUUCAUUUCACUUUCAGACCUUACAUUGAUAUGAGUUAUGUAACUAAGCACAACUCUUAGCAACGGAUAUCUUGGUUCUC